AUUCCAGCUCCAAUAGCGUAUAUUAAAGUUGUUGCAGUUAAAACGCUCGUAGUCGGAUUUCGGGGCCUGCCUGCCGGUCUGCCGAUGGGUAUGCACUGGCAGGCGCGUCCUUCCUUCCGGAGACUGUCCCUACUCUUAACUGAGCGGGGUCGGGAGACGGAUCGUUUACUUUGAAAAAAUCAGAGUGUUUCAAGCAGGCAGCUCGCUCUUGCAUGGAUUAGCAUGGGAUAAUGAAAUAGGACUUUGGUGCUAUUUUGUUGGUUUCGAACACCGAAGUAAUGAUUAACAGGGAUAGUCGGGGGCAUUCGUAUUCAAACGACAGAGGUGAAAUUCUUGGACCGUUUGAAGACGAACUAUGGCGAAAGCAUUUGCCAAGAAUGUUUUCAUCG
rnacentral:rRNA from 1 species